UACGUAGGGGGCUAGCGUUGUCCGGAAUCAUUGGGCGUAAAGCGCGUGUAGGCGGUCCGGUAAGUCCGCUGUGAAAGUCGGGGGCUCAACCCUCGAAUGCCGGUGGAUACUGUCGGGCUAGGGUGCGGAAGAGGCGAGUGGAAUUCCUGGUGUAGCGGUGAAAUGCGUAGAUAUCAGGAGGAACACCGGUGGUGUAGAUGGCUUUCUGGACCGUAACUGACGCUGAGACACGAAAGCGUGGGUAGCAAACAGG
rnacentral:rRNA from 1 species